AUGCGUUAUUAUGACCCAAGUAUAUUAACCAUCUAAAAACCCUAAAUCUCCCAGACGCCUUCUCCUUCACGCUAGAACCCUCUUUAUGGUUCCUCCUUCUCUCAAACCCCAACUAUCAAUUCCACAGCAAUCUUCGUUGAUAUCUUAUUUACAAUCAUCAGAUAUUCACACCGAUCAUCCUCUUCAAUGAUACAGGCAAAUUGCGAUGGUAUUUGAUGGUCACUUUCUUUGUUCGUGUGUGGAUUCUGAAUCUGGAAAGUUCGUUUUAGGAUUGAAGAUCCUUCGUUUUCUGCAUAUGCUGGGUUUGAAGAUUUAUCUCUUCGUAGGUUUACCAGAAAUAAGUUCAAUUUAGAGACAAAAUGAACGAUUGGUGUCGAGUUCGCUAUCUGAAGUCUUAAUAUUGAUGGGAAGGUCAUCAAGGCUCAGAUUUGGGACACUGCUGGUCAAGAAAGGAUGUAGGGGCUGUAGGGGCCACACUGGUAAUUUGUCAACGGGGCUUCUAUGACGAAGCAAAUCAUUUGUUAAUGCACAGAGAUUUGCCAGCUGCCGGACGGGCUGGCGUUGUAUAGCAAUCGGUUUAUGCUUUUUAGUUAGCUGUUUAUAACAAUUUUGCUUUAAUACACAACGUUACUAUAGUUUCUAAAAAUCUUUUUAUCUAAUCUUGUGCAGGCGGUAGAAUUGUUCCCUGGUUCCAGGAACUAACAACUGAAAAAAUAGGAAAGACUGGUUUGGUUAGAGAAAAGGCAUUUGGUACCACAAAAGAUCGAAUGUUUUAUAUUGAGCACUGUGCAAACUCAAAGGCUGUAACCAUUUUCAUCCAUGGAGGUAACAAGAUGAUGAUCGAGGAGACAAAACGCAGCAUCCAAGAUGCACUAUGUGUCGCUAGAAAUGUUAUUCGUAAUAACUCGUUUGCAUACGGUAGCGGAGCUGCAGAAAUUUCAUGCUCAAUUGCAGUUGAAGCUGCGGCUGACCUGGUAGCAACAACUCUCUGGGACGGCUGCAUUCUCAUCUUUAGCAGCGGAAGCACUCGGUGCUAGCUUCAUUGCUUCGUUAUCAGGUGUAGAUUUCCAACAGGGUCCUCCUGUUCCUUCAACACUAUCCAUUAUUGCAGUUCCAAUAAUUGCAACCAACCACAUAAUGCAGUUGAUUUUCAUUGGUGAGUGAUCUGUGUAUAUUUAUUAUUAGCCAUUCUCUUUCUCUUGAGGUUUUACACAUGUAAGUCUUUUAACAAAAGAAAAAUGUUUUUAUUAUCAAAACCUCAUUAGAUAAUGGAUCCACUUAAAUUUUGAAACCACCUGUAUUCCUAAGGUGAGUGAUUGUUACCAAACCUUAUUGCUUUUAUCUCCCAUUUUGAUCUUUGUAAGUUUGACUUCUGAUUACUAUUACUUUAGCACUACCUUAUUAACAAGAUUAAUGUUGAAAACGGUAAAAAAAGUUAGGAAAACAAUUUUUUUUAUGCUAGAAUUAUUUACCAUAUAUUUUAAAUAUUAUAUAUUUGGGUUCGGAUAGAAUAGUUUGGCAUUAAUAGUUUGGGUAAUUUAGAUGUGUUUCAUUCAAUAACAUUGUAGAUCCAAGACAACGAAAGAUUUUAAAUUCAAUUUCAUGCGCGCCUCGUCCCUAUAAAUCAUGCUUGAUCCCCGACCCAUGGGGUUGUACAUGAGAAUGGAUGCGAACGCACACAGGUCUUGUGUUGUGUAUUAAUACUACAUCAACUUUUUACACCCCCCCCCCAAUCACUUAUCGGUUUGUGGUAAUCUUAUGUUACUCACUUUUUAAGUUUUGAAAAUUGUAGAUUGAUCUACAGGGAAUAUUUGCAAGUAAUUUUGUUCCUUUCAGCCAAGGAGUGCUGCUGUCAUUGUUGCAACAAUUGGCAUGUGAUAUUGGGAAUGAUAUCUCUAAGAAACUUGGUUGGAUGAUGGAUGUGGUGGUGGCGAUUAAACCAACUGAUGGGAUCAUCUCAAUGCAUAUAUAAGGCAAGGCCCAUAUUUGAAGCAGAAGCUGCUGAGCUUUCCAGUAUUCGUGUGGUCACGAAACUCAUAAACUCGACGUUAAGGAGCAUAGGGAACUCAAUUUACUACGGGAAAGGUUUUGGUAACUCGAAGGAUAUGCAUCUUCAAAGGGACUCGACUAUCUUUAAAUUGUGUAUCCACUGUAUCACUAAUUUAUGUAACAUGAGACUUUGUAUUUUAUUUUAUUUGUACACUUAAUAUUUAUCUUAAUAGUUUUCUCCAACCCGGGUAGCACCCGGGUGAUAACCUAGUUAUUGUUAUAUUUUCUAACUUAUAGCGCAUACCAGUUGAAGUAGCACGGAUCACAGGAAUUGACGAAACAUUGAAAGUUAAGAUCGCCAACAGGCAAAAUGUGGAGACAAAACAUGAUGUUAGGCCGGAGCCAAAUAAAAACAGUAUGAAGUACGUUGUGAAAGGCUGGGCGAAAUGGCUAAAAGAUAACAACAUACAAGAAGGUUUGACCCAUCAUAUAUGGUAAUUUUGGCUAAUGAAGGAAGCUACAGUAAGUUAUGUAGUGUUAAAAGUUGUUUUGUAGUAGGUUAACAUGUUUCUAGUUAACAUCUUUAUGUAUUAUGGACUUCUAGUACGUAACCGUGAUUAUAAAUAUCAACUUGUUCUA